rnacentral:rRNA from 1 species
GAUGAACGCUGGCGGCGUGCCUAAUACAUGCAGGUCGAGCGAACGGACGAGAAGCUUGCUUCUCUGAUGUUAGCGGCGGACGGGUGAGUAACACGUGGAUAACCUACCUAUAAGACUGGGAUAACUUCGGGAAACCGGAGCUAAUACCGGAUAAUAUUUUGAACCGCAUGGUUCAAAAGUGAAAGACGGUCUUGCGGUCACUUAUAGAUGGAUCCGCGCUGCUUUAGCUAGUUGGUAAGGUAACGGCUUACCACGGCAACGAUGCAUAGCCGACCUGAGAGAGUGAUCGGCCACACUGGAACUGAGACACGGUCCAGACUCCUACGGGAGGCAGCAGUAGGGAAUCUGCCGCAAUGGGCGAAAGCCUGACGGAGCAACGCCGCGCGAGUGAUGAAGGUCUUCGGAUCGUAAAACUCUGUUAUUGGGGAAGAACAUAUGUGUACGUAACUGUGCACAUCUUGACGGUACCUAAUCAGAAAGCCACGGCUAACUACGUG